rnacentral:rRNA from 1 species
AUUGAACGCUGGCGGAAUGCUUUACACAUGCAAGUCGAACGGCAGCAUAGGUGCUUGCACCUGAUGGCGAGUGGCGAACGGGUGAGUAAUACAUCGGAACGUGCCCAGUCGUGGGGGAUAACGUAGCGAAAGUUACGCUAAUACCGCAUACGAUCUAAGGAUGAAAGCGGGGGACCGUAAGGCCUCGCGCGAAUGGAGCGGCCGAUGUCAGAUUAGGUAGUUGGUGAGGUAGAGGCUCACCAAGCCGACGAUCUGUAGCUGGUCUGAGAGGGCGACCAGCCACACUGGGACUGAGACACGGCCCAGACUCCUACGGGAGGCAGCAGUGGGGAAUUUUGGACAAUGGACGCAAGUCUGAUCCAGCCAUUCCGCGUGCAGGACGAAGGCCUUCGGGUUGUAAACUGCUUUUGUACGGAACGAAAAAGCUCUUACUAAUACUAGGAGUCCAUGACGGUACCGUAAGAAUAAGCACCGGCUAACUACGUGCCAGCCGCCGCCGUAA